GUGUCGCUUCAGCAGCACAUAUACUAAAAUUGGAACGAUACAGAGAAGAUUAGCAUGGCCCCUGUGCAAUUCGUGAAGCGUUCCAUAUUAAA
rnacentral:snRNA from 1 species